rnacentral:lncRNA from 1 species
CGCAAAGCUCUUGUAACUGAUGAUGGGAUUAUGAUAGAGUCCAUCCAGAUAUGUGAAACACAAGACGCUCCCAACUUCGACAGAAUAUCAGCAACCGAGUUACCCUCUCGAUAUAUGUGUUGGAUUCUACAAGAGAUUAUAGACAGGAGGUAUUGUAUCUCUUCCCAGUAAUCUUCUAGAUACCAAAUACCACAAACCUUCCUCCUUAACCAAUUAACGAUAAUCAAUGAAUCUAUCUCCACUUCAAGACGGUUAAUCCCUAUCCUUUUAGCAUGUCGAAGCCCAUAUAAUAAUGCCAAUAGCUCAGCUCCAUUAUUAGUACCCUCACCAAGUUCCUCAGCAAAGGCUAUGACAAUAUCACCUCUUUCAUUCCGAAUAAUACCUCCAGCACUACAAAUUCCAGGAUUGCCCAGGCAGCACCCAUCAUUAUUGAGUUUGUGCCACCCUUCCAAUGGUCGUUGCCAUCUCACUACUUUAAAGUUUUUCCAUUUAAUUGGCUUGUCUGGGAUAUUAAGCUCCCUCAACACCCAUUCAUCUCUUCUGUUAAAUGUUCUCACUUUUUUUUAGUUUUAGCCUCACCCAAAGGAUCCAAAUUUUAAUUUUCCUCCAAGUAGCUUCUAUAAAUUCCCUCUUGUCCUCCAUCUUGGCUGAACAUCGCCACAACCAUAAAUGCCAGCAAAUAAUACUAGGAAUAAUACCCACUAGAGUACCUUUAUGUGAUGUAUGUUUUGCUCUUCCGUACCAGGUUUCUACGCGCUCCCUCCACCCUCGAGUCUCUAUAUAUUGAAUUCCCAGUAAGGUUGAAGCAUUUUGCCAAAUUUGUUGGGCAACGUCACCCAAGGCCAAUACGUGAUCCUGAUCCUCAUAUCUCCCUUGAGAGCAACACAUACACUUUAAUAAAAUAGGAAUGCCUGCCUUUCGAAUUUUGUCAUCUACUGAGAGGCCUCCUUUCAUGGCUAACCACAUACUUAAUGAAAUGUUCUUAAGUAGUGUUGGGUGCCAAAUCCAUUCAUGCCACUGUGAUAUCUGCCCCUGACGUCUAGUAGCUUCCCAACCACUUUUUGGAGAAAAUUUUCCAACCAAGUUUUCAUUCCAAAUCAAUUUGUCUUUACCUGUCUCAUUUUUCCAAAUUUAACAAGAAUUUCUCCCGCUUGAUCUUUCCCAGCUAACUCCUCCAAGAGUCUUUCAUUCCAUCCGUUGUCAGCUUUAAGAUCCUUGAUCAAGAUUUUAGGCUGUUCAACCACUAACAACCGAUCACCCAAAGGAUCCAUGUUUGACCAUCUAUCCCACAAGAACGAAACACUACCUUUCUUCACUCGCCAUCUAGAUCGUUUGAGAACAUCUAGAAUGCAUUUUAUAACCAUCUUCUAGAAUCUUGAUCCUUUAGUAGCAUCCACCUGGGAUAUAUGUUUGUCUUUGAUAUAUUUUGCCCUAAAAAAUUUUGACCAAAGAGAUGUUUCAGUCAAAAUUUUCCAAGCAAAUUUCAUAUUUAGUGAUAGUUGUACUUCAUGUAGACUACAAAGUCCAGCACCGCCCUCUUUAACAGGCAUACAAAAUUUGUCCCAUGCUACCCAUUUCUUCUUAGGCUUUCCAUCCGCAUAUCCCCAGAAGAAAUCACUAAAUAUUCUAUUGAUGACUUUCAUAACCGAGGAAGGAGCUUCUAUACAAGAAAUCAGAUGCAGAGGUAUACUUGUGAGGACAUGUUUCAGAAGCAGUAGUCUAGCCCCUUUAGAUAAGACUCUACUUUGCCAACCUGCCAAUCUCAUACGAAUUCUUUCUACCACUUUCUCAAGGUCUCAAGCUCUCAAUCUUUCUGUGAUUAUAGGAACCCCUAAAUAUUUGAAAGGGAAUUUAACUUCAAAGAAUCCAGUGAGUCGUAAGAGCAUCCGUCUUCUUGACACGGUGAUCUGUUUAGAGAAAAGGAUGAAUGUUUUAUCAACACUUACAACCUGUCCCGACCAUUCUUCAUAUUUUAUGAAUACUUCCUUAAUAGCUCUUAACGAUUUUUUCCACCAUUCGCAAAUAUCACGAUGUCAUCAGCAUACAGUAGAUGAGAAAUUAGGGGAGCCCCCCUUGGUAAGGAAAAAGGUCUUAUGCUUCCAUCUUCAUAUUUAGCUCUCAACAUUCUGGAUAAAACUUCUUCAACCACGAUAAAGAGAUAUGGGGAUAGGGGAUCCCCUUAUCUCAAACCUCUUCUGCCUUUGAAGAAACCCUCCAAGUUAUACACUGUCUUACCAGAUCACAAAUCUUGGGCGAGAGACCAGAAGAUCUCAAAACGUGCAUAAGAAAAUCCCAAUCAAUGCUAUCAUAUGCUUUUGGCAAUAUCCACUUCAAGCACAACAUUUCCACCCCUUACAGGCUUGUGAAAAUAAUGAAUCAUCUC